UCGAUAUUCAUUUAAAUAUUUUCUGGCAUGUUAACUAUAAAGAAGAACACUUGAUCCUUUUAAUAUAUUUCUCAUCUUGCUGACCGUUAAGGGCAAAACAGAACAACCCUAACCAUAAGCUAGACACACAGAAAAUGAACUUGUCUCUUAAUUAAAGUUAAGACCACAAUGCAGCGGCAAAGAAAGCCGGGCCAAGUCAAAAGUGGCCAAAACAAAAUUAACAAUUAUGAAUUUAACAAGAAAUUAUAUGUAAGUGCGAGACGAGGCAAA